UCACCCCUCAAGCCCUGUGCUUGGUGUUGGACGGCCGGUCGAGCGAUCGACCCCUCCUAAAGACAAUGACGGCGGCCUGUGGUUCCCCCGGUACACUGAGCUUUUCACCGAGCACGUAUCGGACAAGGGCACCCGGGACCCGGUCCUCUCCUUUCACAAAAGGAAACUUUCUAU
rnacentral:misc_RNA from 2 species